UUCCAAACUCUUGAAUGGUGAUAAGUGUACAAAAUGCAAACUGUUUCCGACAUUUAUAAAAAAUGCAUUUCACUUAUUGCUAGCUUGCUGCCAUGACGACAUACCACCUUUCUAUUAAAUGGCUAAAUGUUUUUCAAAUAUCCAUCCAUCUAUUGUCUGUACCCACUUAUACUUGCAGCAGUCAUUGGACGAUAACCUGACAACUCAAGUUCAAAUGUGUGUGAAGGCAGACGUGAAAAUAAUUAACUCAGAAUAAGACCUCAAACAGGGAGAAAUAAACUACAAGUGUGUAGGUCUCAUUAGCAUUUUAGCAGCAAGGCUGGCAGAGAGGCAGACUCACAAGAUUGGCUAAUGACAGAGAUGAGACACUUUACAGAGAGGGUGAUGGUGACGGCUUCCUCCCUUCACAAACACAAGCUUAUGCAACACUGGCUGUAAGGAAAACUGACUGAUAAGACAAACAGCAGAGCAGUGGAGGAGGAGGAGAUGGCAAAGUGAGACAUAGCAGCAGAGCAGAGAGAUCUUAGAAAACACUUUCCAUGCUGCUUCUGUCGAGGGAGGUGUUCUUGCAGCAGCUAAUGUCUGGUUCGACAUAAUACAUUUUACAGACUCAAUGGUGGGGGAAACAGGCCGAACACAUAGGGUUGCAACUGUGGAGAAAGCUGAAGUUCAGACCGACUGCUUGGAAGAGAGGAUGCAGCAGUGAUCAAUGUUUCUAGAAAACAAAUUAGUUUAUUUUAGGACCUACUGUGCUCCGAAUCGGAGUAUUUGUGAGAACUGAAAGAAUGAGAUCCUGAAUCUAAGAUGGAAAGAAGGAGUGUUUUCUCCAAAGGGUGGAUUUGGUUUAGAAGGGUAAGAAGUCCCAAGAUCUGUGGCUUCUGAAAAACACAAUGAUAACAAUAAGAAUGUAACCAUUUUGUUUGGUUCUGCCCAGAACCACAACUUUGUUGAGGGAUAAUAUGGCUGAGUGUCACCAAGGAGACAGAUAUUGGGAUUCCUUUGUACCAUGACUUGGUUUUGGAUAAGAGAAAAAAGAUAAUAGAUGGAUAUUGAACUGCCAGGAUUCCAAACAAAAAUAUAGCAAAUAUUUAAGUUCCAUGGGCUUUUCUCUGUAAAGAGUCAGCUAGAAAUCAGAACAUGAAAAAGGUGAAAUAAUAUUUAGGAAAUAAAAAAGUAUGAACAACCAGAGAACUGACCAGAGUAAUGAUGGUCCCCAUUUUAAAGCAUUAUGAAGAAAUUGUGCCUUGCAAAAGUUUUUAAACCACUAUAAUAUUUUUUAUCUUACCUGACAACUAUAAACGGUUAAAUGGCAAUUUUCAGGCGCAGGGCUUAAAAACACGUCCAAAGGCCCAAAGAGAGAUGUAGCAGAUGAAAAAAAUAAUAAUUUAAUCUUAGCUGGUUCCCAGAAGUGUCUGCAACAAGAAGAAGUGUGAGAUUAUUAUCAGAACAGGACAGGUGAAGAGGAAAUCAUUCACCACAUCACCAGAUGGGACAUUGUUGGGUAGGAUUCCACAAAAUGGAUCAAGAAGAUCCAGAGGUGAGCAUCAGAAUAGACAGGAAGAUAUCGAGUGGGUAUUUUCCAGUCUGCUCAGAUUCCCUAUAGAGGAAGAACUGGAGCUCACUAAAGACAAAAUCACUGAAUUCUUUCUGUUCUGAUUUUUCUCGAUAAAGCCAUUCAUGGUUCAGGGAGCCCCAAAACAAAGGAGCUAAGACAACCAGGUAUUUUUCUGCGUCAGCCCGAAGCUUUUAGACAGACAGACAGACAGAGAGAGAAAAGAGAGAAACAUUCCUUUAAUUACUCUUCUUUCAAUCUAUAUAAAUGCCUUUAGCUAGUUUGAAAGGUAUUGACGGUUUUGACUCAUGAACCUCUUAAAAGACGCAACACGUUAUAUUUUUCGGCAUGUUUUCAGUAAUUUCUCUGAGACAGCUCUGAAUUAAAGCAGCGAAACAAUAAUAUUCAGUGGAUGAUUUGGAUGAAAACGAGAGAAAGUCAUUCUUACCAUCUGUGAAAUUGUUUUAUUCAAUCUGAGGUGUCAGUAUUUUUCUCCUCAUGAGAUUUAUGUUCAGAAUAAAGCCAUUUUCUGUUAAAACAGCUGGACUUUUUCUAUUUUUUUUUGUCAUCUUAAAGAACUAACUUUGAAGACGAAAGGUUUGUACAACAUCUGCAACUGUGGAAAAAAUAAAAUAUUGGGCCAACAUAGGUGUGAACACCUA